AUGGUGGAGGCUCAGCCAGGCUUGCUGAUGUGUUCACCUGGGCGAUGGAGACAAAACCCAGCUGAACCCUCUGCGCUGGGACUUGCUGCCAGCCGCUGCCCAGGAAAGCCUGAGAGCAGAGCGCCUGCAGGCAGGGCUGGCAGCCGGCCGGGGUGCAGAGGGCCUGCCAGGCCCGUGGUGAGCACGGCAGCCUUGUGCAGGGACCACUCCGAGCCCCGCAGCCCCUCGGGGAGCUCUGCCGAGCCGUGCAAGGGGCGUGCAGCAUCUGCGCUGGGGCAGCCGCAUUCCUCAGCCUGGGGGAGAGGCUCUGAGCGCCGGCAGGUGCAGUCGUGGUUCACCCUCGGAGCUCCCGCAGAGGGUUGCCCUUGCACACAGGGCAUUGCCAGGCUGGCGCUGGCCCAGCACUGCCAGCGUGGCAAUGAAUGGCCUUUUCUUCCCCUGUGCUCCCCAAGAGAGGGUUCCUGCAUCCGUGUGGCCCGAGAAAUAAUGUUAUCCGGGCAGCUCUUGGCAGGCACGGCCCACUCCAACCAGCCCGUAUUGUAUUCUUUUGGCUUUGGGAUCACCUGCGGGUGGCAGGAGGCCACGGCCUGGAGCCGAGUGCUACGCAGGGGUUUUGGGGAGGAGAGGGCUCUCGCCUCUGCUGGGCACGGGGCUCGCAAAGCCCCUGCGCCCCCCACGAAGCCAUGGCUGGCGGAGAGGGGCAGUGACGCUCUCCCCUGGGGUCGAGGAUGUCACCUCGGCACCAUGCUCCCUGUCCCUGGGGGGAACCUGGGCAGGGCUUUGCUGGCCUGGAGAGCACUUGGCUGUGGUCCUAUCGCUGUGCUGUGCCAGGCUCCCCAGCCGCAGGUCCACGGGGACUGCUGGAGCCCAGCAGCGGGUGCUGGGACCCAGGCGGCAGUGCUGGGGAGGGCUUCCCAACCUCCCGUCCCUGCAGGAAGGGGACAUGGAGAUCCACCAGAGCAGAGGAGGUGCUUGGUGGGGCUCGCUGGGCUGAGGCCCUGGUGCCCGUAG
rnacentral:lncRNA from 1 species